rnacentral:rRNA from 1 species
GAGACCGGCGCACGGGUGCGUAACGCGUAUGCAAUCUACCUUUUACAGGGGAAUAGCCCAGAGAAAUUUGGAUUAAUGCCCCAUAGUAUGUAUGAAUCGCAUGGUUUAUAUAUUAAAGUUCCAACGGUAAAAGAUGAGCAUGCGUCCCAUUAGUUAGUUGGUAAGGUAACGGCUUACCAAGACGAUGAUGGGUAGGGGUCCUGAGAGGGAGAUCCCCCACACUGGUACUGAGACACGGACCAGACUCCUACGGGAGGCAGCAGUGAGGAAUAUUGGACAAUGGGCGCAAGCCUGAUCCAGCCAUGCCGCGUGCAGGAAGAAGCAUCUAUGGUGUGUAAACUGCUUUUGUACGGGAAGAAACACUCCCUCGUGAGGGAGCUUGACGGUACCGUAAGAAUAAGGAUCGGCUAACUCCGUGCCAGCAGCCGCGGUAAUACGGAGGAUCCAAGCGUUAUCCGGAAUCAUUGGGUUUAAAGGGUCCGUAGGCGGUUUGAUAAGUCAGUGGUGAAAGCCCAUCGCUCAACGAUGGAACGGCCAUUGAUACUGUCAGACUUGAAUUACUAGGAAGUAACUAGAAUAUGUAGUGUAGCGGUGAAAUGCUUAGAUAUUACAUGGAAUACCAAUUGCGAAGGCAGGUUACUACUAGUGGAUUGACGCUGAUGGACGAAAGCGUGGGGAGCGAACAGGAUUAGAUACCCUGGUAGUCCACGCCGUAAACGAUGGAUACUAGCUGUUG